ncrna:Prevotella sp. oral taxon 306 str. F0472 L13-Bacteroidia ribosomal protein leader
AGGGGUACUCUUAGAGCCCCAUACGAAUCAUGUUAAUAGUGUUGUCUUUGGCCGGGCGACAUGGUUAGGCAAAGC